AUUUGUGUUUACCAGGGUAACUGCAUAUAGGUGAUGCAAAAGGACGUACUCACACCUCAGGAAUUACACAAUGCUGGCUCUUUGUGGAUGCUCAAGCCUGUGUCUGACAAGUCAGAAGCAUCGUGUCAUCUCAAAGCAAUCCCUUCAUCUAGAAAAGUCACCAUUGUCACAGAGCAGCCAUCAGAAGAGGGAUGUAACUGUCCAAAAUCUAUGCAUUGUUCAUCACGUUUUUUGAGACCAAGUUUAUCACUACCUGGAGCUUGCUGAAUUGGCUAAGCUGGCUGGCCAGUGAGUCCCAGGAAUUCCCUAUCUCCACCUUUGCAGCGCUGAAAUUUCAGACCGUCCGUGAACAAGAGGAUGGCUGACUGGAUUGCCCUCCACAUGAGAAUGAUUACACUGAUCCAGUCCUGUUUGCCCAGGGCAAAGUUUCAGGUGUAGCUGAGAGACAGUGAGAAUCAGAGGGAGAACCAUCUCCUACUGGGCCUUGGAGAGAGCACUGGUGGGGAGCAGGGUGGAGUGGAAGGUAAGUCCCAUGAUAUCAGGGACUCCUGUGGUGUUAGAGGGCAUCCUGCGAGUCUCAGUGUUUCCUUCAGACAGAAGUCUGCCUUGUGCUGACAUCUUGUCUGUAGAAAGCACUACUUUGCUUUCUGUUGGUGUGAUAAACAUCAUAACCAAAAGAACCCUGGGUGGUAAAGGGUUGUUUCAGAUUAUGGGUUUUAGUCUAUUAUUGAGGGUAUGAGUUCAAGUCAGGAACACAGAUUUUAGGCUAUUUCAGCCUUCUAGUGAGCCUGUAGGAUUAUCAUACCCACGUGGUUCUGAGAAACCUGAGAUUAGGGAGGAUCUGUAGUUGGUGCCAAGCAAGGUGGGUGGCAUAACUGGGCUUAAAUCCUUGGUCCUUAAAGCUUUUAUUUUUCCAUGUUCAUUUUAUUUUACCUAAGAAAUGGCAUCCAAUGAACUGUGUGCACAUGGAGAAGGAUAGAGUAUGGAGGGAAACAAGGAACUGGAGAGAUGUUUGAGUAGGGCAGGCUAUUGCUGCA